GUCCUUUUUAUAUUGUGCUACUGUGUCCUCUGCGAAGUAGUGCAAUGUGAAAAGGGCAUU
rnacentral:pre_miRNA from 1 species